GACGAACGCUGGCGGCGUGCUUAACACAUGCAAGUCGAACGGAAAGGCCCUGCUUUUGUGGGGUGCUCGAGUGGCGAACGGGUGAGUAACACGUGAGUAACCUGCCCUUGACUUUGUGAUAACUUCAGGAAACUGGGGCUAAUACCGGAUAGGAGCUCCUGCUGCAUGGUGGGGGUUGGAAAGUUUCGGCGGUUGGGGAUGGACUCGCGGCUUAUCAGCUUGUUGGUGGGGUAGUGGCUUACCAAGGCUUUGACGGGUAGCCGGCCUGAGAGGGUGACCGGCCACAUUGGGACUGAGAUACGGCCCAGACGCCUACGGGAGGCAGCAGUGGGGAAUAUUGCACAAUGGGCGGAAGCCUGAUGCAGAAACGCCGCGUGCGGGAUGACGGCCUUCGGGUUGUAAACCGCUUUCGCCUGUGACGAAGCGUGAGUGACGGUAAUGGGUAAAGAAGCACCGGCUAACUACGUG
rnacentral:rRNA from 1 species